rnacentral:misc_RNA from 1 species
UAAGGAAAAUCGGAAACCUACACAUUCAUUGAAACGAUAUUCAGUUUUGAGUGAUUUACACUCAAAAAUUAGAUCUUUGAAAACUGAAUCAUAAUUGUAAAUUUUUAAAUUCAUUUAAUAUUGUUAACGCAAUAUAAAUUGAGCCGAAAAAAUACACCGCGUAAUUUUUUGAGUUUUUUAAAUUAGUUUAAAAUCGCUUGUGACCUUGAGUCACAUACUCAAACUUAUAUCAUCAACGAAAGUUGAUAGGUU